rnacentral:rRNA from 1 species
GUAUUCAAAAUUUUAACAGGCAAGAAAUUAAUUUUUUUUGUUCUGUAAUUUUGGUACUGGCUCGCACUCCCGGGGCGUCUUACACUCAUUGCGAGUAAAGGCGCACCAAGAGCGUACACGUUGGGACCCGAAAGAUGGUGAACUAUGCAUGGCCAGGAUGAAGCCAGGGGAAACCCUGGUGGAGGUCCGUAGCGAUUCUGACGUGCAAAUCGAUCGUCAGAGUUAUGUAUAGGGGCGAAAGACCAAUCGAACUAUCUAGUAGCUGGUUCCCUCCGAAGUUUCCCUCAGGAUAGCUGGUGCCAUUGAUGACAAGAGUUUCAUCUGGUAAAGCGAAUGAUUAGAGGGCUUGGGGCCGAAACGACCUCAACCUAUUCUCAAACUUUAAAUGGAUGAGAGCCUUGGCUUGCUUGAAUAUAAUAAUAAUUUUGAGUUAUUAUAAAUGAAGCCAGAGACUUUGAAUCAAGGCACCAAGUGGGCCAUUUUUGGUAA